ACCUAAAUUCCAUAUAUAUAAUCACAAAGCCCUAAAUCCUCAGAUCUGUUUGACAACGAAUGCGAGAAAGUUCUCCAAAAAAUGGUCACAGGAUAUUUUU